GCUUACGGCCAUAUCACGUUGAAAGCACCGGUUCUCGUCCGCUCACCAAAGUUAAGCAACAUCGAGCCUAGUUAGUACUUAGAUGGGUGACCGCUUGGGAAACCUAGGUGCUGUAAGCA
rnacentral:rRNA from 1 species